CCCACACUUAGAAUACAAGUUUUUUUUUUUUUCAUAAUCAAGUUAAUAAUUACAAUCAUAGCCUCAAAGUAAUUAAGCAUCAUAGGGACAAAAAAUAUUUGGUCAAAAAUAGCGACGAUUGACUAAAGUAAAAUUUCCUAAAAACAAAAUUCUCGUCCACAAAAAGUAUUUCUCCAAACAAUGACAACACAAUAAUUUGCUUUAAUAAAAGAAUCAAAUCACAAGGGAAAGCACAAUAUUUUCAUCCUAAAAAGAACUAAUCAAAAUUAUCAUUUUCAAUUAUAAGAUAAAUUUAACAUGUUCACAAAUUCAACACAAAAAUCCAGACGUGCCAAGUUUAAAGGUUAGCAUAUAUAUGUACCUGACUCCUUGUGAAUGCUUACAAAAUGAGAAGAAUGUAAAACUUACACAGAAUUCGAUCACCAUGCUCCAGUUUCUUUGAUAGGCUUUAUAAUGAACAAUAUUUUAUAACUAUGCUCAAACCAUGUCUAGCUUCCAAUUUAGCCGUGGAGUGAGCAACUUCAAAAUUGCUUUCCUUCGGUAUCAAUCUACCUUAUUUCUCAAAUUAGAGUUUCUCCUUUUCAUCAACAAAUAAUUCAAUUACCAAAUCAAUAAUAAAAUUAGUAAUAAUUCCAUGCCAAAGAAUACUCUUAAGAUUAUUGGAAAAAUAUUACGACAUAGAAUUAUU
rnacentral:lncRNA from 1 species